rnacentral:rRNA from 1 species
AGCCUUGUACACACCGCCCGUCAAGUCAUGGAAGCCGGGAGUGCCCGAAGUUGCCAGGUUUCACUGGUGCCCACGGCAAGCUCGGUGACUGGGACU